GCCUGGGUGGCUCAGUUGGUUGAGCAUCUGACUCUUGCUCAGGUCAUGAUCCCUGGGUCGUGGGUUCAAGCCCCACCUCAGGCU